rnacentral:rRNA from 1 species
UACGGGGGGGGGCAAGCGUUGUCCGGAAUCAUUGGGCGUAAAGAGCGUGUAGGCGGCCUGGUAAGUCCGCUGUGAAAGUCCAGGGCUCAACCCUGGAAUGCCGGUGGAAACUGUCGAGCUAGAUCCGGAAGAGGCGAGUGGAAUUCCUGGUGUAGCGGUGAAAUGCGCAGAUAUCAGGAGGAACACCAAUGGCGAAGGCAGCUCGCUGGGACGGUACUGACGCUGAGACGCGAAAGCGUGGGGAGCAAACAGG